AUGAAAGGCCUCUUGAAAGGAAGAUUUUUGCCCGCUGAUUAUGACCAGAUCCUAUUUAUCCAAUUUCAAAAUUGUGCUCAAGGAAAUAGGACUCUUUCAGAUUACACGGAGGAGUUUCUAAGGCUACAAGUGAGGUGCAACCUUGUUGAAACUGAAGAGCAACAAGUUGCAAGGUACAUCAAUGGUCUCAAUGAUGCUAUUCAAGAUCGAUUGAUGAUGCAACAAAUCUGGUCCGUUGAUCAAGCACAAGCUCUAGCCUUAAAGGCCGAGAGGUUUGUGAGGAUGAGAAAGACAACUAAGGCUCCAUAUCCUCCAUAUCCUCAUACCGAAGGCUCAUCUAGGAGCCAACCUAAUAGUGGAAGAAAAGACCACUCCACCAAAGACAAAACAGCCCAUCUCGAAGCAAACUAG
rnacentral:rRNA from 1 species